rnacentral:rRNA from 1 species
UGGGGAAUAUUGGACAAUGGGCGAAAGCCUGAUCCAGCCAUGCCGCGUGUGUGAAGAAGGUCUUCGGAUUGUAAAGCACUUUAAGUUGGGAGGAAGGGCAGUAAGCGAAUACCUUGCUGUUUUGACGUUACCGACAGAAUAAGCACCGGCUAACUCUGUGCCAGCAGCCGCGGUAAUACAGAGGGUGCAAGCGUUAAUCGGAAUUACUGGGCGUAAAGCGCGCGUAGGUGGUUCGCUAAGUUGAAUGUGAAAGCCCCGGGCUCAACCUGGGAACUGCAUCCAAAACUGGCGAGCUAGAAUAGGGCAGGGGGUGGUGGAAUUUCCUGUGUAGCGGUGAAAUGCGUAGAUAUAGGAAGGAACACCAGUGGCGAAGGCGACCACCUGGGCUCAUACUGACACUGAGGUGCGAAAGCGUGGGGAGCAAACAGG